rnacentral:rRNA from 1 species
GACGAACGCUGGCGGCGUGCUUAACACAUGCAAGUCGAACGGAAAGGCCCUGCUGUUGUGGGUUGCUCGAGGGGCGAACGGGUGAGUAACACGUAAGUAACCUUCCCUUGACUGUGGGAUAACUUCAGGAAACGGGAGUUCCUACCAGAUAGCAUCUCCUGCUGCAUGGUGGGGGUUGGAAUGUUUGGGCGGUUGGGGAUGGACUCGGGGCUUAUCAGCUUGUUGGUGGGGUAGUUGCUUACCAUGGCUUGGACGGGUAGCCGGCCUGAGCGGGGGACCGGCAACAUUGGGCCUGGGAUAGGGCCCAGACUCCUACGGGAGGCAGAAGGGGGGAAUAUUGCACAAUGGGGGGAAGCCUGAGGAAGAAACGCCGCGGGGGGGAUGCGGGCCUUGGGGUGGAAAACCGCUUCAGCAUGUGACGAAGCGGGAGUGACGGUAAUUGGUAAAGAAGCACCGGCUAACUACGUG